AACUGCGAGUGAAGCGGGAAAAGCUCAAAUUUAAAAUCUGGCGGUCUUUGGCCGUCCGAGUUGUAAUUUAGAGAAGCGUCUUCCGCGCCGGACCGUGCACAAGUCUCCUGGAAUGGAGCGUCAUAGAGGGUGAGAAUCCCGUCUUUGGCACGGAUGCCUGGUGCUCUGUGAUGCGCUCUCGAAGAGUCGAGUUGUUUGGGAAUGCAGCUCAAAAUGGGUGGUGAACUCCAUCUAAAGCUAAAUAUUGGCGAGAGACCGAUAGCGAACAAGUACCGUGAGGGAAAGAUGAAAAGCACUUUGGAAAGAGAGUGAAACAGUACGUGAAAUUGUUGAAAGGGAAACGCUUGAAGUCAGUCGCGUCGACCGAGACUCAGCCUUGCCUCGGCUUGGUGUACUUCUCGGCCCGACGGGUCAGCGUCAAUUUUGCCCCUCGGAUAAUGGCAAGGGAAAGGUGGCACCUUUACGGGUGUGUUAUAGUCUCCUGUCGCAUGCGAGGGGUGGGAUUGAGGAACUCAGCGCGCACCUUUGGUGUCGGGGCUUCU
rnacentral:rRNA from 1 species